rnacentral:rRNA from 1 species
UCAGUGAAAUUAAUCUCCCCGUGAAGAAGCGGGGAUACUCAUAUAAGACGAGAAGACCCCAUGGAGCUUCAAACCCAACUACACCCCUAGCUCUUAUAGCCCCACAACCCCCCCUAGGCGCCGUGUGCUUGGUUUUAGGUUGGGGCGACCGCGGAGUACAAUAAAACCUCCACAAUGAAUGGGAACACCCCCUUAUCUGAGGGCCACACCCCCUAAGAAUUAGAACACUAACAUAAAAUGAUCCAUUACUUGAUCAAUGAACCAAGUUACCCUGGGGAUAACAGCGCAAUCCAUUUCAAGAGCCCCUAUCGACAAAUGGGUUUACGACCUCGAUGUUGGAUCAGGGUACCCCAGUGGUGCAGCAGCUACUAACGGUUCGUUUGUUCAACGAUUAAAACCCU